UACAGAGGUCUCAAGCGUUGUUCGGAUUCAUUGGGCGUAAAGGGUGCGUAGGCGGCGCGGUAAGUCGGGUGUGAAAUCUCGGAGCUUAACUCCGAAACUGCAUUCGAUACUGCCGUGCUUGAGGACUGGAGAGGAGACUGGAAUUUACGGUGUAGCGGUGAAAUGCGUAGAUAUCGUAAGGAAGACCAGUGGCGAAGGCGGGUCUCUGGUCCGGUACUGACGCUGAGGUGCGAAAGCGUGGGGAGCAAACAGG
rnacentral:rRNA from 1 species